rnacentral:misc_RNA from 1 species
CCGCCAUGGGCUCGGCGCGGGCGACGCCCCCGAAGUCGCGCGACGCCUCCGCGAUGUCGGACGCGUCGACGCUCAGGCGCCCGCCGCCGACGUCCCCGCCGCCCAGCUGCAGGAGCUCCGCGGGCGGCUCGACGGGGAGCCCCACGGUGGAGAUGAGGGAGGAGACGAGGAACAGCAGCGUGAACAUGAGGCACCGCGUCAUUGCCACCACUUCCCGGCCGGGCGGCCUUAUGCUAUGCCUUUCACUAAUCACUCGCUCCGGGCUCCGCCCGCGUGCUUCUUGGAGGUCGAGGAGCAGCUAUAUAGCUCAGCGCAGCACGGGAGAGGAAGGGAAGUUGAGAUGGAGUAUUCAAGUGGUGUGCGGUGGUGGGCGACGCGGGCGUAUUUAUAGGCUGCUGGAGCCUGGAGGGAGGUGGUGGCGGCCUGGUAGAGCGGGGUAUCAGGCAAAGGAUUACGGGAGGAGACCGAG